UACGGGGGGGGUAAGCGUUGUUCGGAAUUACUGGGCGUAAAGGGCUCGUAGGCGGCCAACUAAGUCGGACGUGAAAUCCCCGAGCUCAACUCGGGAACUGCGUCCGAUACUGGCAGGCUUGAAUCCGGGAGAGGGAUGCGGAAUUCCAGGUGUAGCGGUGAAAUGCGUAGAUAUCUGGAGGAACACCGGUGGCGAAGGCGGCGUUCUGGACUGCAACUGACACUGAGGAACGAAAGCCAGGGGAGCAAACGGG
rnacentral:rRNA from 1 species